rnacentral:rRNA from 1 species
UACGUAGGGUGCGAGCGUUAAUCGGAAUUACUGGGCGUAAAGCGUGCGCAGGCGGCUUUGCAAGACAGAUGUGAAAUCCCCGGGCUCAACCUGGGAACUGCAUUUGUGACUGCAAGGCUAGAGUACGGCAGAGGGGGAUGGAAUUCCGCGUGUAGCAGUGAAAUGCGUAGAUAUGCGGAGGAACACCAAUGGCGAAGGCAAUCCCCUGGGCCUGUACUGACGCUCAUGCACGAAAACGUGGGGAGCAAACAGG